UGGCGUGUGCUAUAAUGCAAGUCGAGCGAACAGAUGAGAAGCUUGCUUCUCUGAUGUUAGCGGCGGACGGGUGAGUAACACGUGGGUAACCUACCUAUAAGACUGGGAUAACUCCGGGAAACCGGGGCUAAUACCGGAUAAUAUUUUGAACCGCAUGGUUCAAUAGUGAAAGACGGUUUCGGCUGUCACUUAUAGAUGGACCCGCGCCGUAUUAGCUAGUUGGUAAGGUAAUGGCUUACCAAGGCGACGAUACGUAGCCGACCUGAGAGGGUGAUCGGCCACACUGGAACUGAGACACGGUCCAGACUCCUACGGGAGGCAGCAGUAGGGAAUCUUCCGCAAUGGGCGAAAGCCUGACGGAGCAACGCCGCGUGAGUGAUGAAGGUCUUCGGAUCGUAAAACUCUGUUGUUAGGGAAGAACAAAUUUGUUAGUAACUGAACAAGUCUUGACGGUACCUAACCAGAAAGCCACGGCUAACUACGUGCCAGCAGCCGCGGUAAUACGUAGGUGGCAAGCGUUAUCCGGAAUUAUUGGGCGUAAAGCGCGCGUAGGCGGUUUCUUAAGUCUGAUGUGAAAGCCCACGGCUCAACCGUGGAGGGUCAUUGGAAACUGGGAAACUUGAGUGCAGAAGAGGAGAGUGGAAUUCCAUGUGUAGCGGUGAAAUGCGCAGAGAUAUGGAGGAACACCAGUGGCGAAGGCGGCUCUCUGGUCUGUAACUGACGCUGAUGUGCGAAAGCGUGGGGAUCAAACAGGAUUAGAUACCCUGGUAGUCCACGCCGUAAACGAUGAGUGCUAAGUGGUUAGGGGGUUUCCGCCCCUUAGUGCUGCAGCUAACGCAUUAAGCACUCCGCCUGGGGAGUACGACCGCAAGGUUGAAACUCAAAGGAAUUGACGGGGACCCGCACAGCGGUGGAGCAUGGGUUUAAUUCCAAGCACCCGAAGAACCUUACCAAACUUUACAUCCUUUGACCGGUCUAGAAUAAAA
rnacentral:rRNA from 1 species